rnacentral:rRNA from 2 species
UGGCUCAGAACGAACGCUGGCGGCAGGCCUAACACAUGCAAGUCGAGCGCGUGUAGCAAUACACGAGCGGCAGACGGGAGAGUAACACGUGGGAACGUACCCUUCGGUUCGGAAUAACCCAGGGAAACUUGGACUAAUACCGGAUACGUCCGAAAGGAGAAAGAUUUAUCGCCGAAGGAUCGGCCCGCGGCUGAUUAGCUAGUUGGUGAGGUAACGGCUCACCAAGGCGACUGGCAAAAGCUGGUCUGAGAGGAUGAUCAGCCACACUGGGACUGUUUUCUUCCGCCCAGACGAAUACGGGAGGCAGCA